AAAGAUUAAGCCAUGCAUGUCUAAGUAUAAGCAAUCUAUACAGUGAAACUGCGAAUGGCUCAUUAAAUCAGUUAUCGUUUAUUUGAUAGUACCUUACUACUUGGAUAACCGUGGUAAUUCUAGAGCUAAUACAUGCUAAAAACCCCGACUUCGGAAGGGGUGUAUUUAUUAGAUAAAAAACCAAUGCUCUUCGGGGCUCCUUGGUGAUUCAUGAUAACUUAACGAAUCGCAUGGCCUUGUGCCGGCGAUGGUUCAUUCAAAUUUCUGCCCUAUCAACUUUCGAUGGUAGGAUAGUGGCCUACCAUGGUUU
rnacentral:rRNA from 1 species